UACGGAGGGUGCGAGCGUUGUCCGGAAUCACUGGGCGUAAAGGGCGCGUAGGCGGCCUGAUAAGUAGGGGGUGAAAUCCUGCGGCUUAACCGCAGGGCUGCCUUCUAAACUGUCAGGCUCGAGCACAGUAGAGGCAGGUGGAAUUCCCGGUGUAGAGGUGAAAUUCGUAGAUAUUAGGAAGAACACCAGUGGCGAAGGCGGCUCACUGGUCCGGUACUGACGCUGAGGUGCGAAAGCGUGGGGAGCAAACAGG
rnacentral:rRNA from 1 species